GGAUAUCAUCAUAUACUGUAAGUUCACUAUUAAUGUACUACAGUAUAGAUGAUGUACUA
rnacentral:pre_miRNA from 1 species